GCUGACGAAUCCAAAACAGUUGUUUUUGAAUACAUCAAUUGAUAAAUAAUUAACCCUUCUAUUUCUCAUUAACCGAAAAAAAGUUAAAUUCUUUUCGCUCAUCGGUCAGUUUAGCACUAUAUUGAUAAUUUCGGCUUUAUGUAAAAGAAGAUUGAAAACUUAAAAUCAACUGGACAAAUUCUCGAAGAUGGUAGUUUCUAAAGGAUUCAAAAUUUUGAUGUUUGCAAUAACUUUUGCUUCUUGGAGCCAGCAAGAAAGUGCAACGAGGUUCGGUCUGUAUCGGAAACUUUAUGGAACUUUGCUGAAAACAGAGUUUAUACUCAGGCAAAUAAAAAAAAUUAAUAUACAGAAAUGCAUUCAAAUGUGCUACUUUGACAAAAAAUGCGUAAGUUUUGCGUACGGAAACUUCAUAUGCGUUCUUUACUCAACAGACCCAAGAGCACAACUGGACGAAAGUUCUCUUAUUAGAUCAAGUAAUUCGCCACUGACUAUGUAUAUAAUAUCAUCUGAUAAUGCAAUACCGUGCAAUAUAGGCAACCUUGCGGCGUAUUCUAAUUCGGAUUUGGAAGAAUGCGGAUUUGAUGAAAAAACUACUGAUUCAAAUUGCGAAGGUGAAUGGUCAAGCUGGAAUUUGCGUUUGGACACAACCUGCAACGAAAACGCAAAAGUUUUCCGAUGGAGAAAACACUCUAGAAACUGCACGGAGCCUCUAUUUGGAGGAAGAACUUGGGCUUGCUUGGAGAAAUGGUCGACAGUUCCGUUGUUGUUGCAAGAUUCGAAGGCGACCUUCCACGAAGCGAAAACGGUUUGUGGUAAUCUAGGCAAAGAGCUGUUCACAGGCUUGUAUUGGAUCUACGAGCAAACGUUGACCUCUGAACUGUCGGGCCUUUUUUGGACGGGGUUCAAGCGAUUCGAGAUGUUGGAAGAAUUUCAAGAUGAGAAUGGAGAACAAUUUUUGAAAGAACCCUGCUCGAACGUUUGGGUUGGACGCGAGCCCACUUUUGGUGCCGGCGAAAAAUAUGUUCUUUUCAGUUUGAACAAUGGCUGGACAGAUGGCCUCCAUGAUUACCGAAUAACGCCUUCAGCAAGAGUGGUGUGUGACAACUGGAUUUUAGACGAAACCUUUAGCGCCAAUACGUGCAAAGAUGGCUACUUCUCACUUGUUUGAAAAAUUCGGAUGGUUUUGAUCUAUAAUAUAGCCCAAAAUAAAAGCAGCUGUUUUUUUUUAAUUUAUGGAGAACAAAUCAUAUUUCAAUAGUAUUAACCAAACUUUUCAAGUUAAAAAAAAUCAGCAAAGGUGGGCUAUAUAACCUUAAAAAACGCUGCCCGCUAUAUAUUUGCAAAAAAAACUAGGAUGGCCGGUUAAUGUACAAGUACAAUGUUCUGACCAGAAUGUUCCAGGAUAUUACAGAA